rnacentral:tRNA from 1 species
CAGAGAGUAGUUUAAAAAAAAUUUUAAUUUUGGAGAUUAAAGAUAAAAUAAAUAGUUUUUUUCUCUGA